rnacentral:rRNA from 1 species
AUUGAACGCUAGCGGCAUGCCUUACACAUGCAAGUCGAGCGAGCGGCGGACGGGUGAGUAAUAUAUCGGUAUGUGCCCUAUAGCGGGGGAUCACUACUCGACAGAGUGGCUAAUACCACAUACUCUCAGAAACGCCGAUAUGGGUGUAGCUAGUUGGUGGGGUAAAGGCUCCCCAAGGCAACGAUCCCUAGCUGGUUUGAGAGGACGACCAGCCACACUGGGACUGAGACACGGCCCAGACUCCUACGGGAGGCAGCAGUGGGGAAUUUUGGACAAUGGGGGAAACCCUGAUCCAGCCAUCCCGCGUGUAUGAGAAGGCCUUCGGGUUGUAAAGUACUUUUGGCAGAGAAGCGGUAUCUGCAGAAUAAGCACCGGCUAACUACGUGCCAGCAGCCGCGGUAAUUC